GAUGAACGCUAGCGGCAGGCUUAACACAUGCAAGUCGAGGGGCAGCGAGAGAGUAGCAAUACUUUUGUCGGCGACCGGCGGACGGGUGCGUAACGCGUAUGCAACCUACCUUAUACAGGGGGGAUAACCUUUUCGAAAGGGAGACUAAUACCGCAUAACAUUACUUUGAGGCAUCUUGAGGUAAUUAAAUCUUCGGAGGUAUAAGAUGGGCAUGCGUAGCAUUAGCUAGAUGGUGCGGUAACGGCGUACCAUGGCGACGAUGCUUAGGGGUUCUGAGAGGAAGGUCCCCCACAUUGGGACUGAGACACGGCCCAGACUCCUACGGGAGCAGCAGUGAGGAAUAUUGGUCAAUGGACGCAAGUCUGAACCAGCCAUGCCGCGUGCAGGAUGACGGCUCUAUGAGUUGUAAACUGCUUUUGUAUGAGGGUAAAUGUAGGUACGUGUACCUAUUUGAAAGUAUCAUACGAAUAAGGAUCGGCU
rnacentral:rRNA from 1 species